rnacentral:rRNA from 1 species
GACGAACGCUGGCGGCGUGCUUAACACAUGCAAGUCGAACGGAAAGGCCCUGCUUUUGUGGGGUGCUCGAGUGGCGAACGGGUGAGUAACAAGUGAGUAACCUGCCCUUGACUUUGGGAUAACUUCAGGAAACUGGGGCUAAUACCGGAUAGGAGCUCCUGCUGCAUGGUGGGGGUUGGAAAGUUUCGGCGGUUGGGGAUGGACUCGCGGCUUAUCAGCUUGUUGGUGGGGUAGUGGCUUACCAAGGCUUUGACGGGUAGCCGGCCUGAGAGGGUGACCGGCCACAUUGGGACUGAGAUACGGCCCAGACUCCUACGGGAGGCAGCAGAGGGGAAUAUUGCACAAUGGGCGGAAGCCUGAUGCAGCAACGCCGCGUGCGGGAUGACGGCCUUCGGGUUGUAAACCGCUUUCGCCUGUGACGAAGCGUGAGUGACGGUAAUGGGUAAAGAAGCACCGGCUAACUACGUG